AUAACACAGUGUGGAGAGUGUUUGACGUGAGUCGUGUGGAGGAAGAGGAGGACAGCGGCCCUACUGUCCCAAGGCUCUCUAAACAAGAGAGGGCCCCUUGAGAAGGGCUUCUGUGUGGCUGUGUUGGACCGCCUUGGCCCACGCACCCAACUCUCAGGGGUUGUGUGAGCUGCCGUGCAUGGACGUCUGCAUCCACUUUCACUAUUGGGCUGGAGUAGCAUGUUGAGCUUAUUCUAUUAUUUUCUAUUUGACCCAACAUACAGGUCAUGGGCUUUCAACACGACAGCUAGUAUGGUUACAGUGUCCAGCGAGCCCCCUGCCACCAAUGUUUCAGGCCUUGCAGACAACAUUACGGCUGUGAGCAGAACCACAAGAGAUGUGAUCCCUCAGAAGACUGGACUUGGAAACAUCAGUAUGACAACGGGUCCCAUUUCAAUCCCACCAGCGAUCACCCAACCAGCUGUCAACAAGUCAACAACGCCCGAAGCCAGUAAGCCUACAGCAACCAAACCAGAGACAAACUCUUCCCCAACUAUGAAACCCCAAACACCCUGGAAACAAAAAGAAUUUUUCACCAACAAAGAUUUCGACGAGCUGGAUAAACGAUUCACGUAUGAUUACUUUACUCUGCGGAAGGCCGGGCUGGUGGUGGCGGCGGUGCUCUUCCUCCUCGGCCUCCUGGUGCUGGGCUGCGGACCCGGAGGACGCCUGCCAAAAUGCCGCCGUCUGAGGGCCACAAAGUAAGGAGCUGUGGUCGUCUUCCCUGAUGGUCCUCUACUCACACUUUCUAAGUUUCAAGUUUCAAGAUUAGUUCAUAUUCAUACAUUGCCAAAAUGGUAAACAUCUGCAAUUCAGACCAGUUAGACAUCCGCAUGAUCCUUUGGCAUGCAUGAAUGGAUCCCCACAAGUAAGCUAUUGAAAGCUUUUGAGAGGGGGGCCCAAAGUUCAUAAAGAGAGUAAUUAAAAGUGCAGUGCACAAUGUGGUACCGUCAUACAGAUACGCAAACGUUAGACAUUACAAUUCAAUCAAAC
ensembl:lncRNA